rnacentral:tRNA from 1 species
CGGGGCGUAGCGCAGCUUGGUUCAGCGCGCCUGCCUUGGGCGCAGGAGGUCGGAGGUUCAAAUCCUCUCGCCCCGACCA